CAGUAGCCGCGGUAAUACGAAGGGUGCAAGCGUUGAUCGGAAUUACUGGGCGUAAAGCGUGCGUAGGCGGUUUGUUAAGUCUGCUGUGAAAUCCCCGGGCUCAACCUGGGAAUGGCUGUGGAUACUGGCAAGCUAGAGUGUGUCAGAGGAUGGUGGAAUUCCCGGUGUAGCGGUGAAAUGCGUAGAGAUCGGGAGGAACAUCAGUGGCGAAGGCGGCCAUCUGGGACAACACUGACGCUGAGGCACGAAAGCGUGGGGAGCAAACAGGAUUAGAUACCCCCGUAGUCCCUGUCUCUUAUAC
rnacentral:rRNA from 1 species